rnacentral:rRNA from 1 species
CCUACGGGAGGCAGCAGUGGGGAAUAUUGCUCAAUGGGGGGAACCCUGAUGCAGCGACGCCGCGUGAGCGAUGAAGUAUUUCGGGAUGUAAAGCCCUAUUAGCAGGGAAGAAAAUGACGGUACCUGUCUAAGAAGCCCCGGCUAACUACGUGCCAGCAGCCGCGGUAAUACGUAGGGGGCAAGCGUUAUCCGGAUUUAAUGGGUGUAAAGGGGGCGUAGACGGGUGUGCAAGUCCGGAGGGAAAGGCAGGGGCCCAACCUGUGGACUGCCUUGGAAACUGUGCGGCUUGAGUGUGGGAGAGGCAAGUGGAAUGCCUGGUGUAGCGGUGAAAUGCGUAGAUAUUAGGAGGAACACCAGUGGCGAAGGCGGCUUGCUGGACGAUGACUGACGUUGAUGCUCGAAAGCGUGGGGAGCAAACAGGAUUAGAUACCCCGGUAGUC